UGGCGCAAGUGAAUGGGGAGUCCCUCGG
rnacentral:sRNA from 1 species